CAUUAACAGCCUAAGUCUUCUCCCAAAGUAUCAAGUUAUGAAGCCAGGAAUUCGCCUCAGCUGGUGGAGCGCUUGCCUAGCCUACAAAGCCUCAGGUUCCAUCCCUUACCCUGCAGAAACUGGGCCUAGUGGCACAUGCUUGUCAUCCUAGCACUGGGGAAGUAGAGGCAGGAAGAUCAGAAGUUCAAAGUCCUACCCCUGCUCCAUGCCAAACCACACCAAAUGCCCUUCAAACGAAGUCAAGCGGGCUUCCCAAGGAAAGCCUCUAAGAAGAGCGGAUGCCCUGACCUCGCUGCCAGGAAAGAAAUGGCUAUGAAAAUGGGCUUUGAGGAAUCAAGAACUCAAGCAUGGUUUGAGAAGCAAUGGACCCUAAAUUCUGAGCAUAGAGAAGAGCCCAUGAGUUUAUCAAGACAUGGCACAAAUGAGGGGACACCCCCAGCCACUCAGUGGCAGUACCUCAACAGAGUCACUCCCCCAGUCUGUUGUCUCCCUUCCUCUAAUCCCUGCUGGGAUGACCACGCAUCCCUACCUGCCCCUCUUAGCUCGCAGGCAUUUGUUCCUUGGGAUCCCUCUGGGGUCUUUGGGAGCCAAGUGCCAAGCCCUGCGAUCAUGCAGACCCCAGAAGCUGUGCAGCAAAGACAGAACCCCGAUGCCCCUCUGACUUACAGGAAUCACUCACCAGAACAGCCAGUUGCAGGACAGGAUCUCUCAGAUAGCCAGGCUCCUUUCUAUUCUCAGUCUGGUCCAGAGCAUGAGAACAGACACUCCGAGGACCUAGAUCAUAUCCACGAUGUAGCUUAUAUUAUGCAAUGGUGGGACAAGGGCCGCCUGGAUAUGCUUGCAAGGUGGAACCCUCUGAAAGAGACAUAGUUUGUUCUGUCAUCCCUGUGAGGUUCACCAAAGCCUUAAGCUCUUGUAGUUCAUUGUCUUAUGCGUAUCCUCUCCGUAUCUGAUGAACACUUGUGUUAGUGCCACAAUGAAGUUAUGGUUAUUACUAUAAACAUUUGUGCACGUGUGUUUGUGUGGACUUUAUUAUUAUUAUUAUCAUCAUCAUCAUUGAAUACACAUAACCAGAAGUGUA